rnacentral:rRNA from 1 species
AUUGAACGCUGGCGGCAGGCCUAACACAUGCAAGUCGAGCGGAUGAAGGGAGCUUGCUCCUGGAUUCAGCGGCGGACGGGUGAGUAAUGCCUAGGAAUCUGCCUGGUAGUGGGGGAUAACGUCCGGAAACGGGCGCUAAUACCGCAUACGUCCUGAGGGAGAAAGUGGGGGAUCUUCGGACCUCACGCUAUCAGAUGAGCCUAGGUCGGAUUAGCUAGUUGGUGGGGUAAAGGCCUACCAAGGCGACGAUCCGUAACUGGUCUGAGAGGAUGAUCAGUCAAACUGGAACUGAGACACGGUCCAGACUCCUACGGGAGGCAGCAGUGGGGAAUAUUGGACAAUGGGCGAAAGCCUGAUCCAGCCAUGCCGCGUGUGUGAAGAAGGUCUUCGGAUUGUAAAGCACUUUAAGUUGGGAGGAAGGGCAGUAAGUUAAUACCUUGCUGUUUUGACGUUACCAACAGAAUAAGCACCGGCUAACUUCGUG